AUAUCGGUGUGUCUGUGAGGGUGUUUGGGGAUGAGAUCAACAGCUGAGUGAGCAGACUGAGAGCCACGGCUGCCCAGACCAUAAGGACGUGUGCCCCCAUCUCUGCUGGAACAUCAUUAGGGGAACAUGCUUGGGUGAGACUAAUGAGGCUGGCUUAGGCUGUGAUGUGGAGGGAGGCUGGUUGGAAUUUCCACCCCGAUAAUGAAGACACACACGGUGCAACUCUCGGGGCUGUUUCCUCCCAGCUGUGGCAGGAGCAACACGGCCUUGGCCUCUGGGGCCCUCUUUGGAUAUCCCACUUGGA